rnacentral:rRNA from 1 species
UGGGGAAUAUUGGACAAUGGGCGGAAGCCUGAUCCAGCCAUGCCGCGUGUGUGAAGAAGGACUUUUGGUUGUAAAGCACUUUAAGCGAGGAGGAGGCUACUUGGAUUAAUACUCUAGGAUAGUGGACGUUACUCGCAGAAUAAGCACCGGCUAACUCUGUGCCAGCAGCCGCGGUAAUACAGAGGGUGCGAGCGUUAAUCGGAUUUACUGGGCGUAAAGCGUGCGUAGGCGGCUUCUUAAGUCGGAUGUGAAAUCCCUGAGCUUAACUUAGGAAUUGCAUUCGAUACUGGGAAGCUAGAGUAUGGGAGAGGAUGGUAGAAUUCCAGGUGUAGCGGUGAAAUGCGUAGAGAUCUGGAGGAAUACCGAUGGCGAAGGCAGCCAUCUGGCCUAAUACUGACGCUGAGGUACGAAAGCAUGGGGAGCAAACAGG